GCCUUGUGAUCAAUUUUUACCUUAUAUACACAUGCAAGUCUCCGCACCCCUGUGAAAACGCCCUUAAAACCCCCGUAGGGAAAAGGAGCCGGUAUCAGGCGCAUAACCAUGCCCAAAACACCUAGCUACGCCACACCCACAAGGGAACUCAGCAGUGAUUAACAUUGACUAUAAGCGCCAGCUUGAUUCAGUUAUGGUAAACAGAGCCGGCAAAUCUGGUGCCAGCCGCCGCGGUUACACCACGUGGCUCAAAUUGAUCCCCAUCGGCGUAAAGCGUGAUUAAAGUUAUUUUUAUACUAGAGUUGUACUAAAAUUAAGCCGUGACACGCUUAUUAUUCAAGAAACACAAAGACGAAAGUUACUCUAAUUAUUCCAACUUGAAUUCACGACAGCCAGAACACAAAC
rnacentral:rRNA from 1 species